AAAAUCAGCAACAGGUAGCAGCACAGCAUCCAAAGCCACCCACCUCCAAGCUUUCCCUUGGGCUGAACUGAGUUUGGGUUCCUGUCUGUUCACAAGAUGAUGUCAACCUGUGUGGCACCCAGAAGACUCACCAACCCCUGAGAGAGUAGCCAACCAUGAGUGCCAGGUAAAGGCAUGGCCCCCUCGGGUGCUCACACCGCUUCAAGAUUUCACUUGGUCGGAACAGUGAGUGCCUGGUGGGACUGGUCUGGAAGAUGGAGAUAUGACAAGCAGUGGCAUCCACAGCCAAAGAAAACAUGUUAUGGUACUGCUGCUGUUGGUGAGUAACUGAACACAGAAAAAGUGUCUUUUUCUCAGGUAAAGUCACUAGAAAGAAAAUUUUUAUCUCUUCUGGGUGACAUUCUAGGGCAAUAUUGUGAUCAAUGGUUUGAUUCCACAGGAGGCAUUCUUGCACCUCUUAGAUGAUGCUGACACUACCCCUCAUGAUGUCAAUGCUUGCUAAAUGAUAAGAUGUUCUAGAUGGCUCGCAAGCCAGGCCUCUGCAGCUUGCUCCCUUUGCUAA